rnacentral:rRNA from 1 species
UAACACGUGGGUAACCUGCCUUAUAGUGGGGGAGUAGCCUUUCGAAAGGAAGAUUAAUACCGCAUAAGAUUGUAGUAUCGCAUGAUAUAGCAAUUAAAGGAGCAAUUCGCUAUAAGAUGGACCCGCGUCGCAUUAGCUAGUUGGUGAGGUAAUGGCUCACCAAGGCGACGAUGCGUAGCCGACCUGAGAGGGUGAUCGGCCACAUUGGGACUGAGACACGGCCCAGACUCCUACGGGAGGCAGCAUG